UCUCUUUCUUCAGUCUUCACCAAGACCGACCACCUCCUGGUUCUCCUCACGUCGCCGUUGUCUGGCCAAACUGGACUGGCGCACCACCACCAAAUUCUUCCCUUUCUCUUUCUCGACAAGACCCACUAAUUGCAUGUGGGAUUUGAGCUAGUUUUCCCUCUGACUGAAUUCGAGAUAGUUCGAGUAAUUGAAGUACCUCCGGCGAAUUCUCAAGUUCCGAUUAGAUUCUCAGCCCCAAAUGGGUAAACCUAAUCGCAUUUCCUUCAAUUCAUUUCAGUUGUUUCACUUAACCUUAACCUAAUUCGAUUUUCUCUUCUUUCGGAUUUCUGGGUUUAACACCACCAUGAUACCGUCAUCCUCCUAGCAUCGAUUUGGACCUCCGGCGAGCUUCUCAGUCCAAGCUAGUUCUCCCAAACUCAUAUCGGUGAGCCCAGUUCUUUUCUUUCAGUUUCAAUUCAAUUUUCUUUCAAACACCAUUGAUUAGAGCCUGAGUUCAAAUUCUCUUCCUUAUUUUGUCAUGUCUUUGUCGAGAAAUCAACUCUGACGAACAUCUCUCUAGCCAUAAGAGGAUGCCUCAAGCUCUCGAUGAGUUGCUAGACCUUUGAGCAACAAGGUUUUGGGAAGUGGAGGACUGCAACAGCUCGGAUUGAGGAUAGUGACUUGAGGAGAGUUGAUACAAUGAGAUCGUACAAAGCUGGAGCAACAAUAACAACAUUACUUUGGGAUUGGAUGAGCAACAUGGAUUCUACACUUCAAUCCAAAUUAAAGAGAUAAUUCAUGGGAAAAGAGAGAUAGCACGGCUAAAGUCCAUAUCCAAUGAGGAAAAGAAUAGAGGACGGCAAGGAGCUUGAAGGUGAAGCUACUCACGUCUUCAGCCCAUAUCCAAGAAGAAAAAAAAGAGUCCAAUGCCGUGUGCAUCUAUUCAGCCAAUAAGGAGAGCCCAGCCCAUGCCGUGUAACCCUAGAGAAAUAAGGAGAUAAGAGCUUGUUCUACAAGAAAAAGAAGGGCAGCCGUUCGAUCCAAUUAAAGAGAAAAGAUCAUAGCCGUGCAUACAUGGAUCAGCCCAUUCAAAACCCUAGCAGCCCCUCCUU